rnacentral:rRNA from 1 species
UACGGAGGAUCCAAGCGUUAUCCGGAUUAUUGGGUUUAAAGGGUGCGUAGGCGGCCUGUUAAGUCAGGGGUGAAAGACGGUAGCUCAACUAUCGCAGUGCCCUUGAUACUGAUGGGCUUGAAUGUACUAGAGGUAGGCGGAAUGUGACAAGUAGCGGUGAAAUGCAUAGAUAUGUCACAGAACACCAAUUGCGAAGCAGCUACUAUGGUAUGAUUGACGCUGAGGCACGAAAGCGUGGGGAUCAAACAGG